rnacentral:scRNA from 1 species
AACAAUUCAACAAUCUGGUAGCACUCGCCACG